AGUGAACGCUGGCGGUAGGCCUAACACAUGCAAGUCGAACGGCUGCACAGUAAGAGCUUGCUCUUACGGGUGGCGAGUGGCGGACGGGUGAGGAAUACAUCGGAAUCUACUUUUUCGUGGGGGAUAACGUAGGGAAACUUACGCUAAUACCGCAUACGACCUACGGGUGAAAGCAGGGGAUCUUCGGACCUUGCGCGAUUGAAUGAGCCGAUGUCGGAUUAGCUAGUUGGCGGGGUAAAGGCCCACCAAGGCGACGAUCCGUAGCUGGUCUGAGAGGAUGACAACCCAACGGGGAACUGAACCAGGGCACAGACCCCGCGGGGAGGAAGCGGGGGGGAUUAUGGGAAAUGGGGCGAAAGCCUGACCGAGCAAUCCCGGGGGGGGGAAGAGGGCUUUGGGUUUGUAAGCCCUUUUUGUGGGGAAAAAAAAGCAGCGGUUUAAACCCCGGCUGUUGGGCCGGUACCAAAAAAAAAAGCCCCGGCUAAUUUGGUC
rnacentral:rRNA from 1 species